GACGAACCGUGCGAACGUUAUUCGGAAUCACUGGGCUUAAAGCGCGUGUAGGCGGGCCGCCGCGUCGGCUGCUGAAAUCCCCCGGCUCAACCGGGGAACGGGCACCGAUACGGGCGGCCUCGAGGGGGGUAGGGGGACCUGGAACUUCCGGUGGGGCGGUGAAAUGCGUUGAGAUCGGAAGGAACGCCCGUGGCGAAAGCGAGGUCCUGGACCCUUUCUGACGCUGAGACGCGAAAGCCAGGGGAGCGAACGGG
rnacentral:rRNA from 1 species